UGUACCUAUAGUCCCUCAUCCAUCUAAUAUCCCAGAGACCGUAUAUCGAGCAUGGUGCUGUCAGACCCAUACGGUUUCUACUCGAGUCUCGCUCUAAUCGGAUUCUCCCGGAGAACUCUUUCUCUCUCAACCCGAAUGACCCUGGCCAGGGAUUUGUCUGAGCAAGAACACAUGGGAUAUUCCUCUCAUGAUACCGAGAGUGGAUGUGUAACACCCCUCAAUUCCGAAUGUUCGUAUAAAUUUUUGGUGAUAAUGUAAGCAUCUAUUUUAAUUGACAAAAGAAAUAGAGUAUGAAUCAGAGGUAACUUAUUUUUAAGAUUUGGGAGAUCUGUUCAAAAAAAAAAAAAAAAAAAAAAGAAAGAAUCUGAGGACCUAUAUGUAAACCCUAAGGACCUAAUCGUGAAUAUGAUAAAAACAAGGACUAAACUGCAAAAUGCACCAAAUGACAAAUUCCACCGCUUAAGCCUCUCUGCCUUCGUUGUUAAGGAAGCAGAGGAGGCAGCUCGUGGGUGAUCAGGGAAAGAAAAGAAGAAGAAGAAGAAGAAGAAGAAGAAGGAGAAGAGAAAGAAAAUUUGGGGCUUUUAGGGUUUUUGCUUUAAUCUUGUUACUUCGGGUCAAAAUUUGCAAAGGAUAGCGUAACUCUUGCUUAAAUGUUAAGAAUGGGCUGAGGCAGCGGAAAGUUUAGAAGACGUUGGGCAGAACUUUUGUUAGCAUAUAUGUAGUUGUGUAUAAGCUACCUUGCAUCUAAUGAAAUGUGACUAUGAAUCUAAACCUGUGGAUUUUGUGUAAGUUAAAGGAUCCCUCAUGUAUAGGGUUUUGGAAUGUUAAAUUAAAUUGUGUAAUGAUAUGAACUUAUGGUAAAUCGAUGAUUGUGGUGACUGCA